CCCCCUUCAUGACAUCACAAUACCCCCUUCAUGACAUCACAAUACCCCCAUCAUGACAUCACAAUACCCCCUUCAUGACAUCACAAUACCCCCUUCAUGACAAAAGUGAAAACAGGUUUAUUUUAUUUUAUUUUAUCAAAUGUAUUGAAAAUGAAAUACAGAAAUAUCUAAUUUUACAUAAGUAUUCACACCCCAGAGUCAAUACAUGUUAGAAUCACCUUUGGCAGCGAUUACAGCUGUGAGUCUUUCUGGGUAAAUCUCUAAGAGCCAAUCCACACCUGGAUUGCACAAUUUGUGUACAUUUAUAUUUUUUUGCUUUUUGUCUUUGGAAUACUCCCAGUAUCUGGUGGGCAGCAGACUGAACCAGGUUUUCCUCUCCGAUUUUGUCUUCGCUCUAUUCUAUUUAUUUUUAUCCUAAAAAAACUCCCUAGUCCUUGCCGAUGACAAGCAUACCCAUAACAUGAUGCAGCCACCACCAUCCUUGAAGAGUGGUACUCUGUGAUGUUGUGUUGGAUUUGCCCUAAACAGAAACACUUUGUAUUCAGGACAUAAAGUUAAAUACUUUGCCACAUUUUUUGUUGAAGUUUUACUUUAGUGCCUUUUUGCGAACAGGAUGCAUGUUUUGGAGUAUUAAUAUUCUGUAGAGGCUUCCUUCUUUUCGCUCUGUCGUUUAGGUUUUAGUAUUGUGGAGUAACUACAAUGUUGUUGAUCCAUCCUAAUUUAUCCUCAUAUGAUCACAGACAUUAAAAUUCUUGUAACUGCCAUCUGCCUCAUGGUGAAAUCCCUGAGCGGUUUCCUUCCUCUCCGUUAACUGAGUUAGGAGGGACGCCUCUAUCUUUGUAGUGACCGGGUGUAUUGAUACACCAUCCAAAGUGUAAUCAAUAACUUCACUAUGCUCAAAGGUUUGAUUCUGUGUUUGAAAUUCACUGCUCAACGUGAGGGACCUUCCAGAUAAUUGUAUGUGUGGGGUACAGAGAGGAGGGAGUCAUUCAACUAUGAUGUAAAACACUAUAUACACACAGUAUUAUUGAGACACAGAGAGAGUCCAUGCAACUUAUUAUGUGACCUGUUCAGCACAUUUUACCUCCUGAACUGAUUUAGACUGAACAUAACAAAGGGGUUUAUUCAAAUAAAAUGUUAUUUGUCAACAGGUGUAGUAGACCUCACAGUGAAAUGCUGAAUACAACAGGUGUAGUAGACCUUACAGUGAAAUGCUGAAUACAACAGGUGUAGUAGACCUUACAGUGAAAUGCUGAAUACAACAGGUGUAGUAGACCUCACAGUGAAAUGCUGAAUACAACAGGUGUAGUAGACCUCACAGUGAAAUGCUGAAUACAACAGGUGUAGUAGACCUCACAGUGAAAUGCUGAAUACAACAGGUGUAGUAGACCUCACAGUGAAAUGCUGAAUACAACAGGUGUAGUAGACCUCACAGUGAAAUGCUGAAUACAACAGGUGUAGUAGACCUCACAGUGAAAUGCUGAAUACAACAGGUGUAGUAGACCUCACAGUGAAA
rnacentral:lncRNA from 1 species